UGAAAGGGCGGUUUAUGAGAAACUGAGAUCAGAUGAGGGCUGAUCUCUGCAGAUGCCUCUGGGAAGCUAGAAAGCAGCUACUGAAAAUAAUUCUCAUGACCCUGGAGCUAAAUUUCCCUACUUUCCUUCAUUCUCGGGAGGGCUCGCCUGUGUGGUAUCAUGCUGGUAAAGCCUCUUCCAUGCUAAUUACUGUGCUUCCUGCCCUCCCUGAGAAGGGGCAUCACCCAUUUCUACCUUCGUCCUAUGACCAGGGAAACCAAGUGAGAAGUGCCAAGUUAUGAGCCUAAGAACACAUGUUAAAGCAGCUCCUCUCUUUCUUCAGCAUGGACAGCAUGCUGGUUUUUCUUGGGCCUGGCUGUCGCCUGCCCACAAAACUUUAGCCCACUCUCCUCUCAUCAGGCCUCUGUCUCUUCAUCGCCUGUGAGUGGCUUGGAGAGUAGAUUUUAGCCAAUUGAAGGUGACAAGUCCUGGGACUACCUGAUGAAAGCCACAGACUUUUUUCCUCGUCUCUCAAUAUACAUAUACUUGAGAAUGCAUCAGAGAAUGUGGAUGAGAAGAUUUUAAUUAUCUUUCAUCAUCGAUGACCAGUUUUACUUGUUAGCAAUAAUGGAAAAAUUGAUCAGGCAGAAUCCACAUGUAAAAAGGACUGUGUUUUUAAUUAAAGAUGUUUUAUGCAUUGAAAAUCAAUGUUUAAAUAGAUCAAUAUAAGUAUGAUCCCUUUGGGCUAUAUUUACACACCACAUAUUUAUCUAUGUGUCACUUGAGAUCAACAGCAUAACUGUCAUCUCCAGGAAUUUUGCAGGAUAAGUGGAGAGAAUUUCUUUCCCUCUUUUAUUGCAUAUUGUUUUGUUCCAGUCUGUAAGCACUGAAAUGCCAUAUCAUAGAUGAAAUGUGAACAGUGAGGAGGCCUGCUAAUAAAAUAACAAGCUUUUACUUCAAUAGUGAAAUAUAACGGGGGAAGUGGCUUUAUUAGCCAAGGUGCUCUUUCCUCAUCCAGGAACAAUGAAUCUUUAAAAGAUUUUAUAUCUGAUAUUAAUAAGUUCUUUUAGCAUUCAA